rnacentral:rRNA from 1 species
UACGUAGGUGGCAAGCGUUGUUCGGAAUUAUUGGGCGUAAAGGGCGCGUAGGCGGUUUGUUAAGUCGGUUGUGAAAGCCCGGGGCUCAACCCCGGAGAGUCGACCGAUACUGGCAGACUAGGAGUACAGAAGAGGUAGCUGGAAUUCCUGGUGUAGCGGUGAAAUGACGUAGAUAUCAGGAAGAACACCCGUGGCGAAAGCGGCUCUCGUGGAACGGUACUGACGCUGAGACGCGAAAGCGUGGGGAGCGAACAGG